GCCCUCAUAACUCAGUUUGGGAGAGUACCGUCCUCGUAAGACGGAAGCCCUGGGUUCGAAUCCCAGUGGGGGCU
rnacentral:tRNA from 1 species